AAUUCAUCUCCGGGGGUAGAGCACUGUUUCGGCAAGGGGGUCAUCCCGACUUACCAACCCGAUGCAAACUGCGAAUACCGGAGAAUGUUAUCACGGGAGACACACGGCGGGGGCUAACGUCCGUCGUGAAGAGGGAAACAACCCAGACCGCCAGCUAAGGUCCCAAAGUCAUGGUUAAGUGGGAAACGAUGUGGGAAGGCCCAGACAGCCAGGAUGUUGGCUUAGAAGCAGCCAUCAUUUAAAGAAAGCGUAAUAGCUCACUGGUCGAGUCGGCCUGCGCGGAAGAUGUAACGGGGCUAAACCAUGCACCGAAGCUGCGGCAGCGACGCUGAUGCGUUGUUGGGUAGGGGAGCGUUCUGUAAGCCUGCGAAGGUGUGCUGUGAGGCAUGCUGGAGGU
rnacentral:rRNA from 1 species